GUGCUGUCUUUGGCAGCACAUGUACUAAAAUUGGAACUAUACAGAGGAGAUUAGCAUGGCCUCUGGGCAAGGAUGGCAUGCAAAUUCAUGAAGCGUUCCAUAUUUUU
ensembl:snRNA Gm23932 predicted gene, 23932